UGGGGAAUUUUCCGCAAUGGGCGAAAGCCUGACGGAGUGACGCCGCGUGUGGGAUGAAGGCCUUCGGGUCGUAAACCACUGUCAGUGGGAAAGAUGGGUGCCGGCGCGAUAACCGCCGGCAUCUGACGGUACCUGCAGAGGAAGCCCCGGCCAACUCUGUGCCAGCAGCCGCGGUAAGACAGAGGGGGCAAGCGUUGCUCGGAAUUACUGGGCGUAAAGGGCGCGUAGGCGGGAUGGCAAGUCGGUCGUGAAAUCCUUCGGCUCAACCGGAGAACGUCGAUCGAUACUGCCGUCCUUGAGGAUUGCAGAGGAGACUGGAAUUCCCGGUGUAGCGGUGAAAUGUGUAGAGAUCGGGAGGAACACCGGUGGCGAAGGCGGGUCUCUGGGCAAUUCCUGACGCUGAGGCGCGAAAGCGUGGGGAGCAAACGGG
rnacentral:rRNA from 1 species